UACGUAGGGGGCUAGCGUUGUCCGGAAUCAUUGGGCGUAAAGCGCGUGUAGGCGGUCCGGUAAGUCCGCUGUGAAAGUCGGGGGCUCAACCCUCGGAUGCCGGUGGAUACUGUCGGGCUUGAGUACGGAAGAGGCGAGUGGAAUUCCUGGUGUAGCGGUGAAAUGCGCAGAUAUCAGGAGGAACACCAAUCGCGAAGGCAGCUCGCUGGGACGUUACUGACGCUGAGACGCGAAAGCGUGGGGAGCAAACAGG
rnacentral:rRNA from 1 species